GACGAACGCUGGCGGCGUGCCUAAUACAUGCAAGUUGAGCGCUGAAGGUUGGUACUUGUACCAACUGGAUGAGCAGCGAACGGGUGAGUAACGCGUGGGGAAUCUGCCUUUGAGCGGGGGACAACAUUUGGAAACGAAUGCUAAUACCGCAUAAAAACUUUAAACACAAGUUUUAAGUUUGAAAGAUGCAAUUGCAUCACUCAAAGAUGAUCCCGCGUUGUAUUAGCUAGUUGGUGAGGUAAAGGCUCACCAAGGCGAUGAUACAUAGCCGACCUGAGAGGGUGAUCGGCCACAUUGGGACUGAGACACGGCCCAAACUCCUACGGGAGGCAGCAGUAGGGAAUCUUCGGCAAUGGACGAAAGUCUGACCGAGCAACGCCGCGGGAGUGAAGAAGGUUUUCGGAUCGUAAAACUCUGUUGGUAGAGAAGAACGUUGGUGAGAGUGGAAAGCUCAUCAAGUGACGGUAACUACCCGGAAAGGGACGGCUAACUACGUG
rnacentral:rRNA from 1 species